rnacentral:rRNA from 1 species
ACGGGAGGCAGCAGUGAGGAAUAUUGGUCAAUGGGCGGAAGCCUGAACCAGCCAUGCCGCGUGAAGGAAUAAGGUCCUAUGGAUUGUAAACUUCUUUUGAGCGGGAGCAAUAAGGCGUACGUGUACGCCGAUGAGAGUACCGUUCGAAUAAGCAUCGGCUAACUCCGUGCCAGCAGCCGCGGUAAUACGGAGGAUGCAAGCGUUAUCCGGAUUUAUUGGGUUUAAAGGGUGCGUAGGCUGUGCGUCAAGUCAGGGGUGAAAGCCCGGGGCUCAACUCCGGAACUGCCUUUGAUACUGGCGUGCUUGAAUUCGGAUGCCGUGGGAGGAAUGAGUAGUGUAGCGGUGAAAUGCAUAGAUAUUACUCAGAACACCGAUUGCGAAGGCAUCUCACGAAUCCGACAUUGACGCUGAGGCACGAAAGCGUGGGGAUCAAACAGGAUUAGAUACCCUGGUA